AUUGAACGCUGGCGGCAUGCCUUACACAUGCAAGUCGAACGGCAGCACGGGAGCAAUCCUGGUGGCGAGUGGCGAACGGGUGAGUAAUAUAUCGGAACGUGCCCAAUAGUGGGGGAUAACUGCUCGAAAGAGCAGCUAAUACCGCAUACGACCUGAGGGUGAAAGCGGGGGAUCGCAAGACCUCGCGCUAUUGGAGCGGCCGAUAUCAGAUUAGCUAGUUGGUGGGGUAAAAGCUCACCAAGGCGACGAUCUGUAGCUGGUCUGAGAGGACGACCAGCCACACUGGGACUGAGACACGGCCCAGACUCCUACGGGAGGCAGCAGUGGGGAAUUUUGGACAAUGGGCGCAAGCCUGAUCCAGCCAUGCCGCGUGCGGGAAGAAGGC
rnacentral:rRNA from 1 species